rnacentral:misc_RNA from 1 species
AACUUUCAACAAUGGAUCUCUUGGUUCCGGCAUCGAUGAAGAACGCAGCGAAAUGCGAUAAGUAAUGUGAAUUGCAGAAUUCCGUGAAUCAUCGAAUCUUUGAACGCACAUUGCGCCCCCUGGCAUUCCGGGGGGCAUGCCUGUCCGAGCGUCAUUUCAACCCUCAAGCGCGGCUUGUGUUAUGGGCUUCGUCACCCUGUGGACGUGCCCCAAAUUCAGUUAUCAGGGCCGUGAUCGGCGCCCGAGCGAAUGGGAGAUCCACUAGCUCAGAGGGCACGACCUCCCCCGAUACAAAUGUCUAUCAUCAAGGUUGACCUCGGAUCAGGUAGGGAUACCCGCUGAACUUAAGCAUAUCAAUAAGCGGAGGAAAAGAAACCAACAGGGAUUGCCCCAGUAACGGCGAGUGAAGCGGCAAAAGCUCAAAUUUGAAAUCUGGCUCCUUUGGGGGUCCGAGUUGUAAUUUGAAGAGGAUGCUUCGGGGGCGGUCACGGCGCAAGUCCCUUGGAACAGGGCGUCGCAGAGGGUGAGAAUCCCGUCUCGAGUCGUUGACCCGUCCCCGUGUGAAGCUCCUUCGACGAGUCGAGUUGUUUGGGAAUGCAGCUCUAAAUGGGUGGUAAAUUUCAUCUAAAGCUAAAUACUGGCCAGAGACCGAUAGCGCACAAGUAGAGUGAUCGAAAGGUUAAAAGCACCUUGAAAAGGGAGUUAAAUAGCACGUGAAAUUGUUGAAAGGGAA